rnacentral:ncRNA from 2 species
CACGUAGGCACCAAGCGUUGUCCGGAUUUAUUGGGCGUAAAGAGCUCGUAGGCGGUUCGGUAAGUCGGAUGUGAAAACUUUGGGCUCAACCCAAAGCGUGCACUCGAUACUGCCGUGACUGGAGUUCGGUAGGGGAGCGGGGAAUUCCUAGUGUAGCGGUGAAAUGCGCAGAUAUUAGGAGGAACACCGGUGGCGAAGGCGCCGCUCUGGGCCGAUACUGACGCUGAGGAGCGAAAGCGUGGGUAGCAAACAGG